rnacentral:rRNA from 1 species
GAUGAACGCUGGCGGCGUGCCUAUUACAUGCAAGUCGAGCGAACGGACGAGAAGCUUGCUUCUCUGAUGUUAGCGGCGGACGGGUGAGUAACACGUGGAUAACCUACCUAUAAGACUGGGAUAACUUCGGGAAACCGGAGCUAAUACCGGAUAAUAUUUUGAACCGCAUGGUUCCAAAGUGAAAGUCGGUCUUGCUGUCACUUAUAGAUGGAUCCGCGCUGCAUUAGCUAGUUGGUAAGGUAACGGCUUACCAAGGCAACGAUGCAUAGCCGACCUGAGAGGGUGAUCGGCCACACUGGAACUGAGACACGGUCCAGACUCCUACGGGAGGCAGCAGUAGGGAAUCUUCCGCAAUGGGCGAAAGCCUGACGGAGCAACACCGCGUGAGUGAUGAAGGUCUUCGGAUCGUAAAACUCUGUUAUGAGGGAAGAACAUAUGUGUAAGUAACUGUGCACAUCUUGACGGUACCUAAUCAGAAAGCCACGGCUAACUACGUG